GAUGAAGAACGCAGCGAAAUGCGAUAAGUAAUGUGAAUUGCAGAAUUCAGUGAAUCAUCGAAUCUUUGAACGCACAUUGCGCCCCUUGGUAUUCCGAGGGGCAUGCCUGUUCGAGCGUCAUUUCAACCCUCAAGCUCUGCUUGGUCUUGGGCCUGGCCGUGAUGGCCGGUCUUAAAAUCAGUGGCGGUGCCGUCGCAGGCUCCAAGCGUAGUACAUCUCUCGCUCUGGAAACUUGGCGGUGCCUGCCAGACAACCCCUAAUUGUCUCUUUCGGUUGACCUCGGAUCAGGUAGGGAUACCCGCUGAACUUAAGCAUAUCAAUAAGCGGAGGA
rnacentral:misc_RNA from 1 species